rnacentral:rRNA from 1 species
GGUUAAGCGACUAAGCGUACACGGUGGAUGCCCUGGCAGUCAGAGGCGAUGAAGGGCGUGCUAAUCUGCGAUAAGCGCCGGUAAGGUGAUAUGAACCGUUAUAACCGGCGAUACCCGAAUGGGGAAACCCAGUGUGACUCGUCACACUAUCAUUAACUGAAUCCAUAGGUUAAUGAGGCGAACCGGGGGAACUGAAACAUCUAAGUACCCCGAGGAAAAGAAAUCAACCGAGAUUCCCCCAGUAGCGGCGAGCGAACGGGGAGGAGCCCAGAGCCUGAAUCAGCAUGUGUGUUAGUGGAAGCGUCUGGAAAGGCGCGCGAUACAGGGUGACAGCCCCGUACACAAAAGCGCAUGUGCUGUGAGCUCGAUGAGUAGGGCGGGACACGUGGUAUCCUGUCUGAAUAUGGGGGGACCAUCCUCCAAGGCUAAAUACUCCUGACUGACCGAUAGUGAACCAGUACCGUGAGGGAAAGGCGAAAAGAACCCCGGCGAGGGGAGUGAAAAAGAACCUGAAACCGUGUACGUACAAGCAGUGGGAGCCCCACCACCAAAGCGUUUCGCUUUGUGUGGUGCACAAAGAAGCGUAACGACAGCACUGAAUGACGGUUAACGGAGCGCAAGCGACGUUCAACAUACAAAGUCAAGCAGUGGAGCGCUUUGGGGUGGGGUGACUGCGUACCUUUUGUAUAAUGGGUCAGCGACUUAUAUUCUGUAGCAAGGUUAACCGAAUAGGGGAGCCGGAGGGAAACCGAGUCUUAACCGGGCGUUAAGUUGCAGGGUAUAGACCCGAAACCCGGUGAUCUAGCCAUGGGCAGGUUGAAGGUUGGGUAACACUAACUGGAGGACCGAACCGACUAAUGUUGAAAAAUUAGCGGAUGACCUGUGGCUGGGGGUGAAAGGCCAAUCAAACCGGGAGAUAGCUGGUUCUCCCCGAAAGCUAUUUAGGUAGCGCCUCGUGAAUUCAUCUCCGGGGGUAGAGCACUGUUUCGGCUAGGGGGCCAUCCCGGCUUACCAACCCGAUGCAAACUGCGAAUACCGGAGAAUGUUAUCACGGGAGACACACGGCGGGUGCUAACGUCCGUCGUGAAGAGGGAAACAACCCAGACCGCCAGCUAAGGUCCCAAAGUCAUGGUUAAGUGGGAAACGAUGUGGGAAGGCCCAGACAGCCAGGAUGUUGGCUUAGAAGCAGCCAUCAUUUAAAGAAAGCGUAAUAGCUCACUGGUCGAGUCGGCCUGCGCGGAAGAUGUAACGGGGCUAAACCAUGCACCGAAGCUGCGGCAGCGACGCUUAUGCGUUGUUGGGUAGGGGAGCGUUCUGUAAGCCUGUGAAGGUGGCCUGUGAGGGUUGCUGGAGGUAUCAGAAGUGCGAAUGCUGACAUAAGUAACGAUAAAGCGGGUGAAAAGCCCGCUCGCCGGAAGACCAAGGGUUCCUGUCCAACGUUAAUCGGGGCAGGGUGAGUCGACCCCUAAGGCGAGGCCGAAAGGCGUAGUCGAUGGGAAACGGGUUAAUAUUCCCGUACUUGGUGUUACUGCGAAGGGGGGACGGAGAAGGCUAUGUUGGCCGGGCGACGGUUGUCCCGGUUUAAGCGUGUAGGUGUGUGUUCCAGGUAAAUCCGGUUCACUUUAACACUGAGGCGUGAUGACGAGGCACUACGGUGCUGAAGCAACAAAUGCCCUGCUUCCAGGAAAAGCCUCUAAGCAUCAGGUAACAUCAAAUCGUACCCCAAACCGACACAGGUGGUCAGGUAGAGAAUACCAAGGCGCUUGAGAGAACUCGGGUGAAGGAACUAGGCAAAAUGGUGCCGUAACUUCGGGAGAAGGCACGCUGAUAUGUAGGUGAAGCGGUUUACCCGUGGAGCUGAAAUCAGUCGAAGAUACCAGCUGGCUGCAACUGUUUAUUAAAAACACAGCACUGUGCAAACACGAAAGUGGACGUAUACGGUGUGACGCCUGCCCGGUGCCGGAAGGUUAAUUGAUGGGGUCAGCGCAAGCGAAGCUCCUGAUCGAAGCCCCGGUAAACGGCGGCCGUAACUAUAACGGUCCUAAGGUAGCGAAAUUCCUUGUCGGGUAAGUUCCGACCUGCACGAAUGGCGUAAUGAUGGCCAGGCUGUCUCCACCCGAGACUCAGUGAAAUUGAACUCGCUGUGAAGAUGCAGUGUACCCGCGGCAAGACGGAAAGACCCCGUGAACCUUUACUAUAGCUUGACACUGAACAUUGAGCCUUGAUGUGUAGGAUAGGUGGGAGGCUUUGAAGCGUGGACGCCAGUCUGCGUGGAGCCGACCUUGAAAUACCACCCUUUAAUGUUUGAUGUUCUAACGUGGACCCGUUACCCGGGUUGCGGACAGUGUCUGGUGGGUAGUUUGACUGGGGCGGUCUCCUCCUAAAGAGUAACGGAGGAGCACGAAGGUUGGCUAAUCCUGGUCGGACAUCAGGAGGUUAGUGCAAUGGCAUAAGCCAGCUUGACUGCGAGCGUGACGGCGCGAGCAGGUGCGAAAGCAGGUCAUAGUGAUCCGGUGGUUCUGAAUGGAAGGGCCAUCGCUCAACGGAUAAAAGGUACUCCGGGGAUAACAGGCUGAUACCGCCCAAGAGUUCAUAUCGACGGCGGUGUUUGGCACCUCGAUGUCGGCUCAUCACAUCCUGGGGCUGAAGUAGGUCCCAAGGGUAUGGCUGUUCGCCAUUUAAAGUGGUACGCGAGCUGGGUUUAGAACGUCGUGAGACAGUUCGGUCCCUAUCUGCCGUGGGCGCUGGAGAACUGAGGGGGGCUGCUCCUAGUACGAGAGGACCGGAGUGGACGCAUCACUGGUGUUCGGGUUGUCAUGCCAAUGGCACUGCCCGGUAGCUAAAUGCGGAAGAGAUAAGUGCUGAAAGCAUCUAAGUACGAAACUUGCCCCGAGAUGAGUUCUCCCUGAGACUUUAGGUCUCCUGAAGGAACGUUGAAGACGACGACGUUGAUAGGCCGGGUGUGUAAGCGCAGCGAUGCGUUGAGCUAACCGGUACUAAUGAACCGUGAGGCUUAACCUU